AUGCAGCUGACGAGUCCCGAAUAGGACGAAACGCGCGUCCUGGAU
rfam:Schistosoma mansoni strain Puerto Rico chromosome 6, complete genome